UUUAAAUGAAAAGCUGAGAUUCUCACAGACCAGCAUGGUUCCAGGAGUUGGAGUUGUAAGAAAAACACCAAAUUAUCACAAAAUUGAUAACAAACCAAGAAGAGCUGGCUGCAGUGUUGCUCCCAACCAGCUUAAAGCCGUUUCACUUUGUGGUGCAAGUGAGACCAAAAAGCUGCAUCUUUAAUGUGCCUGAGCAUACUUUUUUGAGCAACUCUAGGCCCAGCUUUUUGCCAAACUGACCUACCAGCCACUUGGACUUAGAUUUCUUGAGAGCAUAACCUGUGUCCUUCAGGUUGUCUGGGGUGCCAGAUGUUACCUUUUGGCAUUCCUAUUUCCUGAACACUCUUUUCUCUUUUAACUCCAAACCUCCCCACUCUGAGCAGAAGUUUCCACUCUGGCACUCUGAGGUGAGACCACAUUCAGAUCUCUCACGCGGUCUGCCAGUUGAACCCAGAAAUACUCUGUUCUGACAGGGGUCUGUAUCUGGGCUGUCUGGAGGUGGGGUAGGAACAGGAUUUGGUUCCCCACAGCACUGUCCAAACUGUUUUGUGCAGUAGAUACUGACGGGGCUGGAAGCAAACCUAACAGGCAUCACAGGCCAUGUUUCCACCCUGGUCUCCGUUUCCACCCUGGUCUCCAUUGGUCUGUAAACUCACACCUACAUAGGUUUGCCGCUGUCUGUGAGCACCUCUCUGGCGAUGGAGUGGCCAGCCACUGGACAAACUUGUGCGCGCUCCUGCGAAUUUGAUACAACUGCUUUUGCUUGGAACAGGACAGGGCAAUGCAUGCUCCAACCUGCAGUUGCCCCAGGCCACCACCCCAUAUUAAAUGUGAACACAGCCACAUUGCAGAACUGCAUCAGCUGUCUCUGGCCUAGUGCUUUUCAUCCCAGACUAGCGUGUGACUAAUGUGAAGUCAAGAAUGACUAACGUGGAUCUGGGAGCAGUUCUGAUUGAGAGCUAGAGAAGAACUCUCCUGCCAAAAACUUCACCACGUGCAGUAUAUUCAAAGUGAUUCAGCUGGGAUAAAUUAGUAACCGGUAGUUUACUGUUAGGAAUGAAAAAACAUGAAUGCAUGAUGCCGGUAACCUUUGCUGCCUGUCAGAGAGCAGAGGUGUGGGUGGUUGUGCUGGUUCUGCUGCGCACUCUUUCAGGAGGUGACACACCCUGUGGGGUCACAUACGUUUUCCAAAGCUGUUUUCCAGGUCAGACAGCUUAGGGGACGGUUUCGUCACUACCUACAAGCUUUACCGUACUCCCAGCAGACCUGACCCUUCAGUAGCCCCUCUAGAUAUUGAUUAGCAGACUGGCGGGGGAGCUGUUUACAAUCCCUUCCGUUUGUGCCAUGUGAACCCUGGAGCCUCUUUCAGUGCUUCAGUUGUAACCAUGAGCUUUCAGCUGGGCUUGGAGCUCAGCAAAACAAAUCCACUCCUAGGCAACAAUUGGCAUGGGAGAGUUAGCUCCAGUGAUAUUUUUCCCUAUCAAAUCUGGUUUAAAUCAGUUUGAACAUUGCUAGGUUCUUACUGCUCCUCCCCCUGCUCCGCACAUGUUUUCUGACCACAGAGAUGGUGCUGAGUUCCUAAUGCUGAAUACAGUAAGGUUUUAUAGGCCACUAUUCCCUAAUACAGGCUGGUAACUUUAAAUAGACUUAAUGCCUUUCUUUAAAAUAAACAUUGCAAACUCUUCUGA